rnacentral:rRNA from 1 species
GACGAACGCUGGCGGCGUGCUUAACACAUGCCAGUCGAACGGAAAGGCCCUGCUCUUGUGGGGUGCUCGAGUGGCGAACGGGUGAGUAACACGUGAGUAACCUGCCCUUGACUUCGGGAUAACUUCAGGAAACUGGGGCUAAUACCGGAUAGGAGCUCCUGCUGCAUGGUGGGGGUUGGAAAGUUUCGGCGGUUGGGGAUGGACUCGCGGCUUAUCAGCUUGCUGGUGGGGUAGUGGCUUACCAAGGCUUUGACGGGUAGCCGGCCUGAGAGGGUGACCGGCCACAUUGGGACUGAGAUACGGCCCAGGCUCCUCCGGGAGGCAACAGUGGGGAAUAUUGCACAAUGGGCGGAAGCCUGAUGCAGCAACGCCGCGUGCGGGAUGACGGCCUUCGGGUUGUAAACCGCUUUCGCCUGUGACGAAGCGUGAGUGACGGUAAUGGGUAAAGAAGCACCGGCUAACUACGUG